rnacentral:rRNA from 1 species
GAUGAACGCUGGCGGCGUGCCUAAUACAUGCAAGUCGAGCGAACAGACGAGGAGCUUGCUCCUCUGACGUUAGCGGCGGACGGGUGAGUAACACGUGGAUAACCUACCUAUAAGACUGGGAUAACUUCGGGAAACCGGAGCUAAUACCGGAUAAUAUAUUGAACCGCAUGGUUCAAUAGUGAAAGACGGUUUUGCUGUCACUUAUAGAUGGAUCCGCACCGCAUUAGCUAGUUGGUAAGGUAACGGCUUACCAAGGCAACGAUGCGUAGCCGACCUGAGGGGGGGAUCGGCCACACUGGAACUGAGACACGGUCCAGACUCCUACGGGAGGCAGCAGUAGGGAAUCUUCCGCAAAGGGCGAAAGCCUGACGGAGCAACGCCGCGUGAGUGAUGAAGGUCUUCGGAUCGUAAAACUCUGUUAUUAGGGAAGAACAAAUGUGUAAGUAACUAUGCACGUCUUGACGGUACCUAAUCAGAAAGCCACGGCUAACUACGUG